GCUUACGGCCAUACCACCCUGAGAACGCCCGAUCUCGUCUGAUCUCGGAAGCUAAGCAGGGUCGGGCCUGGUUAGUACUUGGAUGGGAGGCUGCCUGGGAAUACCAGGUGCUGUAAGCU
rnacentral:rRNA from 1 species